UGGCUCAGAUUGAACGCUGGCGGCAGGCCUAACACAUGCAAGUCGAGCGGAAACGAGUUAUCUGAACCUUCGGGGAACGAUAACGGCGUCGAGCGGCGGACGGGUGAGUAAUGCCUAGGAAAUUGCCCUGAUGUGGGGGAUAACCAUUGGAAACGAUGGCUAAUACCGCAUGAUGCCUACGGGCCAAAGAGGGGGACCUUCGGGCCUCUCGCGUCAGGAUAUGCCUAGGUGGGAUUAGCUAGUUGGUGAGGUAAGGGCUCACCAAGGCGACGAUCCCUAGCUGGUCUGAGAGGAUGAUCAGCCACACUGGAACUGAGACACGGUCCAGACUCCUACGGGAGGCAGCAGUGGGGAAUAUUGCACAAUGGGCGCAAGCCUGAUGCAGCCAUGCCGCGUGUGUGAAGAAGGCCUUCGGGUU
rnacentral:rRNA from 1 species